rnacentral:rRNA from 1 species
AUUGAAUGCUGGCGGUAUGCUUAACACAUGCAAGUCGAACGGUAACAGGCCUUCGGGCGCUGACGAGUGGCGGACGGGUGCGUAACGCGUAGGAAUCUGCCGAUUAGUGGGGGACAACGUGGGGAAACUCACGCUAAUACCGCAUACGCCCUACGGGGGAAAGCGGGGGAUCUUCGGACCGCGCGCUAAUCGAUGAGCCUGCGUGGGAUUAGCUAGUUGGUAGGGUAAAGGCCUACCAAGGCGACGGUCCCUAGCUGGUCUGAGAGGACGAUCAGCCAAACUGGGACUGAGACAAGGCCCAGACUCCUACGGGAGGCAGUAGUGGGGAAUAUUGGACAAUGGGCGCAAGCCUGAUCCAGCAAUACCGCGUGUGUGAAGAAGGCGCUAGGGUUGUAAAGCACUUUCAAUAGGGAGGAAAACCUGCCGGUCAAUACCCGGUAGCUUGACAUUACCUAUAGAAGAAGCACCGGCUAACUCCGUGCCAGCCGCCGCGGUAACAC